UACGGGGGGGGCAAGCGUUGUUCGGAAUUACUGGGCGUAAAGGGCUCGUAGGCGGCCAACUAAGUCAGACGUGAAAUCCCUCGGCUUAACCGGGGAACUGCAUCUGAUACUGGAUGGCUUGAGCUCGGGAGAGGGAUGCGGAAUUCCAGGUGUAGCGGUGAAAUGCGUAGAUAUCUGGAGGAACACCGGUGGCGAAGGCGGCAUCCUGGACCGACACUGACGCUGAGGAGCGAAAGCCAGGGGAGCAAACGGG
rnacentral:rRNA from 1 species